AUUGAACGCUAGCGGGAUGCUUUACACAUGCCAGUCGAACGGCAGCGCGGACUUCGGUCUGGCGGCGAGUGGCGAACGGGUGAGUAAUGUAUCGGAACGUGCCCAGUAGCGGGGGAUAACUACGCGAAAGCGUAGCUAAUACCGCAUACGCCCUACGGGGGAAAGCAGGGGAUCGUAAGACCUUGCACUAUUGGAGCGGCCGAUAUCGGAUUAGCUAGUUGGUGAGGUAACGGCUCGCCAAGGCGACGAUCCGUAGCUGGUUUGAGAGGACGACCAGCCACACUGGGACUGAGACACGGCCCAGACUCCUACGGGAGGCAGCAGUGGGGAAUUUUGGACAAUGGGGGCAACCCUGAUCCAGCCAUCCCGCGUGUGCGAUGAAGGCCUUCGGGUUGUAAAGCACUUUUGGCAGGAAAGAAACGUCGCGGGCUAAUACCCCGUGGAACUGACGGUACCUGCAGAAUAAGCACCGGCUAACUACGUG
rnacentral:rRNA from 1 species